GCUGCAACUCGCCUACAUGAAGUUGAGUUGCUAGUAAUCGCGAAUCAGAAUGUCGCGGUGAAUGCGUUCCCGGGUCUUGUACACACCGCCCGUCACACCAUGGAAGUUGGGGCGCCCGAAGUUGGUCGGGAAAUAGAUUACCUAAGGCGAAACCAAUGACUGGGGUGAAGUCGUAACAAGGUAUC
rnacentral:rRNA from 1 species